rnacentral:rRNA from 1 species
AUUGAACGCUGGCGGCAGGCCUAACACAUGCAAGUCGAGCGGAGCGGCGGACGGGCGAGUAAUGCCUAUGAAUCUGUCUGGUAGUGGGGGAUAGCGUCCGGAAACGGGCGCUAAUACCGCCUACUCUCAGAUGAGCCUAGACCGGAUUAGCUAGUUGGUGGGGUAAAGGCCUACCAAGGCGACGAUCCCUAACUGGUCUGAGAGGAUGAUCAGUCACACUGGGACUGAGACACGGUCCAGACUCCUACGGGAGGCAGCAGUGGGGAAUAUUGGACAAUGGGCGAAAGCCUGAUCCAGCCAUGCCGCGUGUGUGAAGAAGGUCUUCGGAUUGUAAAGCACUUUAAGUUGGGAGGCGUUACCAGCAGAAUAAGCACCGGCUAACUUCGUGCCAGCAGCCGCGGUAAUAC